rfam:Paenibacillus sp. Y412MC10, complete genome.
GGUUAAGCUACUAAGAGCACACGGAGGAUGCCUAGGCGCUAGGAGCCGAAGAAGGACGUGGCGAACAACGAUACUGCCUCGGGGAGCUGUAAGCAAGCUUCGAUCCGGGGAUGUCCGAAUGGGGAAACCCAGCUGAUGUAAUAGUCAGUUACCCGUAUCUGAAUACAUAGGAUGCGAGGAGGCAUACCCAGGGAACUGAAACAUCUAAGUACCUGGAGGAAGAGAAAACAAGAGUGAUUCCGUCAGUAGCGGCGAGCGAACGCGGAACAGCCUAAACCAGAGAGCUUGCUCUCUGGGGUUGUGGGACGUCUCACAUGGAGUUACAAAGGAACAUAUUAGGCGAAGAGGUCUGGAAAGGCCCGCUAUAAGAGGUAAAAGCCCUGUAGCCGAAAGUAUAUUCCCUCCGAGACGGAUCCCGAGUAGUGCGGGGCACGUGAAACCCCGUAUGAAUCCAGCAGGACCAUCUGCUAAGGCUAAAUACUCCCUAGCGACCGAUAGUGAAGCAGUACCGUGAGGGAAAGGUGAAAAGCACCCCGGAAGGGGAGUGAAAUAGAACCUGAAACCGUGUGCUUACAAGAAGUCAGAGCCCGAUCUAUGGGUGAUGGCGUGCCUUUUGUAGAAUGAACCGGCGAGUUACGUUCCCAUGCAAGGUUAAGGCGAGAAGCCGUAGCCGCAGCGAAAGCGAGUCUGAAUAGGGCGAUGUAGUAUGUGGGCGUAGACCCGAAACCGUGUGAUCUACCCCUGUCCAGGGUGAAGGUGCGGUAACACGCACUGGAGGCCCGAACCCACGUAUGUUGAAAAAUGCGGGGAUGAGGUGGGGGUAGCGGAGAAAUUCCAAUCGAACUCGGAGAUAGCUGGUUCUCCCCGAAAUAGCUUUAGGGCUAGCCUCGGAAUGAAGAGUCGUGGAGGUAGAGCACUGAUUGGGUGCGGGGCCCGCAAGGGUUACCAAGCUCAGUCAAACUCCGAAUGCCAUAGACUUAUAUCCGGGAGUCAGACAGUGAGUGCUAAGAUCCAUUGUCAAAAGGGAAACAGCCCAGACCAUCAGCUAAGGUCCCCAAGUGUGUGUUAAGUGGGAAAGGAUGUGGAGUUGCACAGACAACCAGGAUGUUGGCUUAGAAGCAGCCACCAUUUAAAGAGUGCGUAAUAGCUCACUGGUCGAGUGACUCUGCGCCGAAAAUGUAACGGGGCUAAACACACCACCGAAGCUAUGGCUUGAUGCUUAUGCAUCAGGGGUAGGGGAGCGUUGUAUGCAGGUUGAAGGUGUACCGUAAGGAGCGCUGGACAGCAUACAAGUGAGAAUGCCGGUAUGAGUAACGAAAAGAUCAGUGAGAAUCUGAUCCGCCGAAAGCCCAAGGUUUCCUGAGGAAGGUUCGUCCGCUCAGGGUAAGUCGGGACCUAAGGUGAGGCCGAAAGGCGUAAUCGAAGGACAACAGGUUGAAAUUCCUGUACCACCGUAAACCGUUAUGAACGAUGGGGUGACGCAGGAGGGUAGUGACGCGGACUGAUGGAUGUCCGUCCAAGCAGUGAGGCUGAUGUGUAGGCAAAUCCGCACAUCGUAAGGCUGGGCUGUGAUGGGGAGUGAAAAUUAUAGUAGCGAAGGUCAUGAUCUCACACUGCCAAGAAAAGCCUCUAGUCAGGUGAAGGUGCCCGUACCGCAAACCGACACAGGUAGGCGAGAAGAGAAUUCUAAGGCGCGCGGAAGAACUCUCGUUAAGGAACUCGGCAAAAUGACCCCGUAACUUCGGGAGAAGGGGUGCCUCGGUAGGGUGAAUAGCCCGAGGGGGCCGCAGUGAAAAGGCCCAAGCGACUGUUUAGCAAAAACACAGGUCUGUGCGAAGCCGUAAGGCGAAGUAUACGGGCUGACGCCUGCCCGGUGCUGGAAGGUUAAGGGGAGCGGUUAGGGGUUAAACCCGAAGCUGUGAACCGAAGCCCCAGUAAACGGCGGCCGUAACUAUAACGGUCCUAAGGUAGCGAAAUUCCUUGUCAGGUAAAUUCUGACCCGCACGAAUGGCGUAACGACUUGGGCGCUGUCUCAACGAGAGAUCCGGUGAAAUUUUAAUACCUGUGAAGAUGCAGGUUACCCGCGACAAGACGGAAAGACCCCAUGGAGCUUUACUGCAGCUUGAUAUUGGAUUUGGGUACGAUCUGUACAGGAUAGGUGGGAGCCUUUGAAGCAUGAGCGCCAGCUUGUGUGGAGGCGACGUUGGGAUACCACCCUGAUCGUAUCUAGGUUCUAACCUGGUACCGUGAUCCGGUACGGGGACAGUGUCAGGCGGGCAGUUUGACUGGGGCGGUCGCCUCCUAAAGAGUAACGGAGGCGCCCCAAGGUUCCCUCAGAAUGGUUGGAAAUCAUUCGAAGAGUGCAAAGGCAUAAGGGAGCUUGACUGCGAGACCUACAAGUCGAGCAGGGACGAAAGUCGGGCUUAGUGAUCCGGUGGUACCGCAUGGAAGGGCCAUCGCUCAACGGAUAAAAGCUACCCUGGGGAUAACAGGCUUAUCUCCCCCAAGAGUCCACAUCGACGGGGAGGUUUGGCACCUCGAUGUCGGCUCAUCGCAUCCUGGGGCUGAAGUAGGUCCCAAGGGUUGGGCUGUUCGCCCAUUAAAGCGGUACGCGAGCUGGGUUCAGAACGUCGUGAGACAGUUCGGUCCCUAUCUGUCGUGGGCGUAGGAAAUUUGAGAGGAGCUGUCCUUAGUACGAGAGGACCGGGAUGGACGUACCGCUGGUGCACCAGUUGUUCCGCCAGGAGCAUGGCUGGGUAGCUACGUACGGACGGGAUAAGCGCUGAAAGCAUCUAAGCGUGAAGCCCCCCUCAAGAUGAGAUUUCCCAGUAUGUAAGACCCCUUGAAGACGACGAGGUAGAUAGGUUGGAGGUGGAAGUGCAGCAAUGCAUGGAGCUGACCAAUACUAAUCGGUCGAGGGCUUAUCCAA